rnacentral:tRNA from 1 species
GCGCCCGUAGCUCAGAGGAUAGAGUACCGGCCUCCGAAGCCGGGUGCGCAGGUUCGAGUCCUGCCGGGCGUACCA